rnacentral:lncRNA from 1 species
UGAUUCGGACUUUCAAACCUUAGCUUUGCCCAAAUUCUUCACAGCACUUUCUGGGUUCUUUUCAGGGAUAUUUUAGCUUAAGGACAACGGGUUUCAAGGUGUUGACAGAGGCGGCUUUCAAGGUGUUGACAGAGGCGGCUUUCAAGGUAGAUCGUUGUUAGAGAGAGAAAGAGAGCGAGAGAGAGGGAAGGAGAGAGAAGGAAGAAAGCUUCAGCGCCCGUGAGAUAGAUUUUUGACUUAACAAAAAUUUUUAGGUUUUAGGUUUCACACAGACCAUACAUGAAAG